UGUUCUCGUCUAUUUGUGGCAUAUCAUAUCUUAAUCAUGUAUGCCAGUCUAUGUGCAGUCUCCCUUUUUCCUCUCCCCCUGGCCAUUUCACAACCUGUAUGUCAUAUCCACAUUUCCCUUUUUUUGCUCCGACCCAUUCAACACAUCCCUUCCGAUUCCCCAUAACUUCAGUUUUUUUUUUAAAUUGAGUCCAAUAUUGUCCCAAAAGGCAUCCAUUGUGACAGAGUAUUGAUCAAAAU
rnacentral:lncRNA from 1 species